CAAUGCCUUUAGCGUUCAUUAAUCCUGGAUCCCACCUGUGGCAGCUUCACAAUGGUCCUGCUGAAUCUGAGGACUGUCACACUCACCUGGCAGAAGAUGAAGAGGAGCUCUGGUGUCCCUCUGAAGUCACCUUAGAGAACCUGGACUGCAGCUAUCCAGGCCAGUCUUCCAUGGGCACAACUUGCUGUGUAUCUCUUCACAUCUGGUGAACGAUCUACAGAAAAUGACACUCAUACAGGAGCCUCGGGGCUGCACCGUAGCCAGCAGGAUGAGAGAGGCCUGAGAGUGGAGGAGACAUGAAAGCUUUAUGGUAUUUAUACGAAUGCUGGCAGAUUGUGCCAGAGCUACUGUUCCCCCUGGGUAUUGUUUCAUCCUGAGGCAGCACACUUCUUCACCAGUCUGACUGUCCUCUGCCUCAGCUGCCAGUGGCUUCCACACCUUCAGUGGAUGCUCUCUUUAGGUAUUGCUCAGGGCGUGCUGGCACAUCCCAUGAGACCAAUGCCUCUUCCUACAUUCAAGGUUGCACAGAGAGAGGGAGAAUGAAAACACAAGUUAAACUUCUUUUUGCUUUCUGACUUUUCACUGUGUUCCCUUUUCCAGAAAGAAAGCCCUCCUCUCUUUCUUUCAAGGAUCAGAUGUCUCGAAAAUUCAGUGCCCCAAUAACUGGAGUAAAUUUCAUCUCGUUGUAUAGCUGCGUUGGAAAGGAAGAGGACACAACCAGAAAAAAGGGACUGAGCCACUAUGGACUCGGUGGUCGUGGGACAUCCCUCCAUGAAUGCAAAGGCCAGGUCAGAUGGACUGUGAAGGGUCUGCUACAAGUAUUUCAACCUGCCUGUUCAAAAGACAGCUGAGUUCAUCAUGAGUGGUAUCACAUAGGGUUGUGGUUUUUUUUUUCUCCAUCUGCAGGAAUGCAGAUUUUGUGAUCAGGGGAAAAGCUUUGGGUUGAUAAUAUAAACUUUAUACUGCUGGAGAGGUUUUUCUCCAAGCUUCAGCCCUGGAAAAGGGGUUGUACCGUAAUCUCUGCUGUCUCUGUGCUGAGCUGAAAUGCAAUGCUUUUAUUACAUUCACUUGAAAUAACGGCACCUGCAUCCCCAGGACAGGAUGCCAGUGGCACAGUCAAAACCUCAUUCACUUGCUUGUGUGCCGGGGCUCUAGAAAAAUUUCCGAGGAACUGGGACCCCUGCUGCAUUAAGCAGUGUCCCUUUUAAAUGUACUAAUUGCAGAGCAUAAAAUGAAGAGAAAUGGUCACAGCAGUGGUGGAUAAAGAAUUUUUGUCCCUCAUUAGGCAAGUUUAAGCUUGAGACUCUGGUAGAGCUUUGUCAUCGCAGCCCAGCACUUCUGCUAUAUGACAGUAUUAGAGCGUGCAGACUUCAAAUGGGCUUUCCAUGAGCAUUCAUGCAAGUCAGGCUCCAUCACUCUAAUGUCUGCAGAAAGCAAACAGAAAAGAGCUGGGAAGUUUGGGCAAAGGGAAUCUAUUUUCAAGCCACGACCAACACUAGUCAAUGUAAUCCUUUUCUUGGUCCCUAGAUGUGAGAGAUGAUUAAAAAAAAACCCAAAUCAGAAACAAGUCAGCAUCAGCCAGCCAGGUCUUAAUGGGACACUAGCUCUUAAUGGGUGUUUGCUCCUAUUCACACUGCUGCGUACUCUUCUUCCUUCAACUUACAUAGUCAGAUAUAAUUAGUGAAUAAGUUUAUGCAAAUAUGAGACAAGGAUGGGUUUUUAGAGCAGGACUUCUAGGUUAAAGUGGGUUUUAACUAGAAAGCUACGCACCCUUUUCAGGAAAUGACCACCUCCACCUCAGACAGCAUUUCUGAAGAUUUACUGUAAAACCCAAUGAAAAUUAGGCAAAACUUGGGAAGCUUGGUUAUUGUUUUCAUUCAUCUCAUUUGCUAGUGCAAGUGUAUGAGGAGUGAGGUAUAUGUGAUACGGUUUGGCUUUGUGUUUGAAAUCCUAGUGGUUUCACAGCCAUUUUCCCUUGCCUGCGGGCUCUGCCCCAUGGGUUGAAUACCUUUCUGGAGCAUCAAACACAUCCAAAUGUGGAUAGGCAGAGGUAAAAGCUGCAGAUGGUCAAAGAAUCAGCUCCAGUUUUGCCCAGAAUCCCCAAAGAAGGGCUCAUUUCUGUCAUGCUGACAAUGGUGCUCGCCACUCCAGCAACAGUUGCCUCUGAAAAUCCCCUGAAAUAUUUUCCUCUCCUUUCACUUUUCAUUUUCACAGGCCUUUGCACUUCUCAACCCUGAUCUUAGGUGAAAUGAGAGCACCAAAUUAACUCAAGAGUGUUGUGCUUCUGCAGGACAGGGCAGAGUCCCAGCAGAAGCCUCAUCUCAUGACACUACAAAAGUGCCUGGUGCAACAGUAUUGCCGAGUGAGCAUCCCCACCUACCACAUACUGCCAGCCUCUGGGGCAGUACAGACUCAAUUGCAUCACAUCAAGGUCAAGGACAUGAAAUACGUGCCCAUACACCAGACCCAGCAGGCUAUGGGGUCCCAACUGUGUUCCCUGAGACCACAGUAGUGAGAAUCCUCCAUGAGCUAUUUCUUCCUGAUGUAAAGUGGGGCUGGCUGCCUCUAGCCAGCUGACUGGCAGCUGAGAGGCUCUUAAUGAGCAUCUCUUCCCCCUUGGCAGUGCUCACUGAAGGAGACCUCAGCUGGGAAGGAGAGCUGCCGUAUCGGGCUGAAUUACCCUGAAUUAUUCUUUGCGCGUCUAGAAAGACAUAGCUGCUAUUUAGAAAAGCUCAUAAACCAACAAUGCAUCCAGCAUAUAAAAGGCAAAUUAAAAAAAAAAAAAGCGCACAGCAUGAACCUAUAUUUUAAAAUAAAUUUCAUUUAUCCCAAUUGCCCCUUUUCUGAAACACUAAUAGAACAAACUGUCAUGGUAGAAGCUGAGGAGGGACAGGAAGAAACGAAGGCCCUGUGGAUAAUUCAGAAGUGAUAUGCCAUGCAUGAGAAACAGCACUGAAAAAUGCAUGAGAGCUGUUUUGUAAAAAAAAUGCACUGUGGAAAUGCUGGCUUCCUUGGAAGAAUCAAGAGCAAUAAAUAGAAAGAAGCAAGACUGCAAAGAGCCUGAAACUGAGAGCAGAAAGGUCUCAGAAACCUGACUGGGUUGGAAAAGGGGAGGCACUGGAAGUUUUCAGAGAGGAGCGGAUGAUCCACGGGGACAUACUUGAAGAGGACCCUGUGUUUUGCAUGUGACUGAGGUCAGGGCAGAGAAGGCAGCUGUAGUCAACACAAGUGAGGAUUUUUGCUCUGGGGGAAAAAGAAAAAAAUGUCAGGUCUAGAAAACUGUAGAAGGAAGGAGUGACACAGCCAGCUCCUCUUCUCGUCCUGCCUGGCACUGGGCUGCUGCUGCAAAGGGGAAUGACGACUGAAGUCAGUGCAGCAGGCGCAGGGAAUGAAGACAUACUGCUGAAGCACAGCCUGCCCGAGAUGAGUGUGACAUUGGUUUUGUGUGACUGUCAUACUUGGACUGGUGUCCAGGAGCUGGGGAUUAUUAUAACAAUGACAUGGCAAUGGGUUGAAUCUCCUCAAUGGCAAAGACGAGUAGGGGGAUGCUCGGUGUCAGCUGGAAUGAGCAGUGGUGCUCCCCGGUACAAGAAAUGCCAGCCUUCACUCCAGUCCUUGUUUUAUUUUUUAACUACAGAAAACACAUCCUUUGCAACACACAGGGUGGCCAAAUAGAUGCAGGGGCUACCUGAAAUCCAAAGAGCACAGGGAUUCAGACAGGAAAAAAAAAAAAAAAAAAAAAAAAAAAAAAAAAAGAUUUCAUUUGCAGCUAUGUCUAUAAAGCAAGAUUGAGGAUGCCAUUUGGCAUUGGGCACUGCCUGUGUGGUGAAGUGUUUCCUGAGUGUGUAGGUAGACUCUGAGGAAAGUGAACCGGGUAAUUGCCUUUCCUGGGGCAUCAAACACGGGGAUAGGGAGAGGGACAGAGAUAAUAAGGAAAACGUAAUGCUGAACUGCCUGCCUGAUUAUUUAGCAGGUGCGUGUGUGAAUGUGUCUCUGUGCACACCUUUAAUUAGCCUAGAAAUCAAAUGACUGCUGCAGAGUCUCUCUCUCAUGAUUUUUAAAGGACCCCUCUGUUGUGCAUUUUAGUGGCAGAUUUAUAAAGGAGCUGGGAAACAGUGUGGGGGGGUUUCAACACUGAUGCCAUUUCCCAGGCUUGGGAGGCAAAGCAUCCCCAAUCAGGAGGGAGCCAGGAGACUGGGGGAGCCCCUAGUGCCCUUCUCUCUGCCCUCCUCCUUAACAGCCACAAGCACAAGAAACACAAUAAAGGUCCAAGUCAGCCCAGCUGAUGCCCAGCUGUCAGACCCUGAUGGAAAUGCUGGAGGUGGGGCACAAGGGUGUCAUCUGGGUAGAAACGGUGCAUUAAAAUCACCUUGGCUCACGCAGGUUCCAGAGUUGCACCGACUGCCCAAGGAGUAAACUGUGGAGAAGCAGGGCCUUUGCACCAAAAUAAAUCUAGUGUCCUUUGUCAUGCCCACAAGGCAAACCAAGAUGCUCAUUUGAAUCCAUGAGAUUGGCAUUUUCUUGUGGUGAGGGCCAGAGUGCCUGGCUUGGAAAAACAGGAGGAAAUACAGGCAAAAUUUCACAGUCCUGGCCAAAUGCAUUCACCUCCAUUCAUUGCUUUAUCUUCCUGAAGGAUCCUCUAUGCACUGGCAGUCCCAAAGGUGUUACCAUGUUCUUAAAAUGUUUUCAGUAUAAUUGAACUUGGUCAGCCUAUGAUGAAGGCAAACACAAGCUGACAAGCACAGGACUGACCCUUAUACGUUGAUCAUAUCUUCCUUUCCCACAGAGAUAUGACUAGGAAGAAGGAAAAGCCUUUAAAAAGCCCCUGAAAGUGGCUAAAAUAAGAAUUGGCUGAAAAGGGAAAAAAUUAACACUUAAUUUUUUAUUUCCCUGAAUACAGGAGGAGAACCAAAUCUUCCAUUUGUGUUUCUUUGAAUUAUAGAAAGGAAAUUCCACAAAAAAUCAUUUUAUUUCCUUCAAAGCUGUUGAAAACUUAUGUGUUGAUGACUUACGUGCUUCAUGUUACAAUGUCAGGAGGAAAGGUUGGGUCUUUAAAAUAUUCUUGUUGUUGUUGUUGUUCAUAAAAAUAAAUGUAUUUUUUGUUCCUUUCAUUUUGACAUGCUUUGUGAAGAGUGUAUGCUCAGCAAGUCUAAAAACUUUUGGGACAACCUGUCACAGCCUCUAGAAAUAGACUAAAUAAGUGUUAACCAAGACAUGAAAUAUGAAACACAACAACACAAGGCAGAAUGAAGUGAAACUGUGCUCUGAUUUCAAAUCACGCAUAAACAGAUUUCCUUGCAAUAA